GAUGAACGCUGGCGGCGUGCCUAAUACAUGCCAGUCGAGCGAACGGACGAGAAGCUUGCUUCUCUGAUGUUAGCGGCGGACGGGUGAGUAACACGUGGAUAACCUACCUAUAAGACUGGGAUAACUUCGGGAAACCGGAGCUAAUACCGGAUGAUAUUUUGAACCGCAUGGUUCAAAAGUGAAAGACGGUCUUGCUGUCACUUAUAGAUGGAUCCGCGCUGCAUUAGCUAGUUGGUAAGGUAACGGCUUACCAAGGCAACGAUGCAUAGCCGACCUGAGAGGGUGAUCGGCCACACUGGAACUGAGACACGGUCCAGACUCCUACGGGAGGCAGCAGUAGGGAAUCUUCCGCAAUGGGCGAAAGCCUGACGGAGCAACGCCGCGUGAGUCAUGAAGGUCUUCGGAUCGUAAAACUCUGUUAUUAGGGAAGAACAGAUGUGUAAGUAACUGUGCACAUCUUGACGGUACCUAAUCAGAAAGCCACGGCUAACUACGUG
rnacentral:rRNA from 1 species